UUUAAUAGCUUGCCUCUUUAUUAUGAAUUAUUAAAAAUAAUAUAUUAUUCUAUUGAUAAUGAUGUUUAAAUAUCCUAUGUAUACUUACUUUGUAGCAAGUAUCAAAUUUAUGAAAUAUUUUGUAGCACAUAUGAAAAAUUUUAUUGUAGCAUGUAUUCAAUCAUUGAAGUACUUUGUAGCAAUUGUCAUUAUUUAGAUGAGUUUUUAAAAGUAUAUAUUUCAUAUAAAGGAACCAGUCUUUACACUGGAAAAAGGAGGCCUGGCAUGGUCCAGUCACUGUUCUCUUUCCAGAAAGGGAAGACAUUUGCACUUUUUCUCGUAGAACAAGUACUUUGAAAAUUAUAUCUGAAACCUAUUAUGAAUAUAGAUAAAUUAGUAGAAAAAAUAGAUCUUAUUUAUCAAAAAUUAAUUGUGGUAGAAGCUUAUUUAGUCGAAAGGGAAACUAUAUUAGCCAAUUUAGAUUAUAUUAAAAAUAAUAUGGAAAAGAAUAGAGAAAGUAAUGAUGUAAAUGAGUAUUUAUUCUAGUUUUCAAUCUUGCAAAACUCUGUACUAUUAAUGAGGUGACUCAUAACAUUAGCUCUUUGCUAAUGAGCUUCCAAUCUUUUUCUUGUGUCAUUUUUGUUUAGUAUUAUGCUAUGCUCUGAGCUUCCAAUCUUUUUCUUGUGUCGUUUUUGUUUAGUAUUAUGCUAUGCUCUCGUGUUAUGGCAAAUGGAUGGCAUGCUCUAUCAGAUGAAAUUCGUGAUUUGUCUUUCAUCUUCCUUUUGCAUUUCAUUUUCAGUUUUUUUUUUGGUUGUUUGGCACAUGAUAUCUAAAACCUUCUUUGGGCUACAGUUCUAUUAUAUCUCCGAUCGUUUGGCUGGUGUUUUCGAAGUACAAUGGCAAUUGUCUUUAGAAGGGGAUUUUGUUCAUCACUAGACAAAGUUUGACACUUCACCAAUUUGUUUUUGAUUUGUUUAUUGCUGCUGUUUCCAAACAUUAUGUUUUUGUUAUUGGUGUGGCAAAGUUUGCUGAUGAAUUUGGGGUUUCUAAUAUUUAGAAGGGGGUUUACAUCAAUGCAAUAACAUAAUUUCGUCAAGUUGUUUUUUGAAUAUAUAUUUGUUGUCUGUUCUCUUGGUUUGUAGUCACCGAUAAAAAUCAAUUGCUUAUGUUUUUUUAUACUGAUUUUAUUUUGUAUGAUCUUGAUUUUUGUUUUUGUUUGUGAAGGAUUUGCAAGUUCAUGUUAUGGUACUAAUUGGAUUUGCUGUUGGAGUGUACGUAACUGAUGGAACUUGUUAGGUGUUGCACUGCAUUGGGAAACAUGCAUCAGAUUUUCUAUUCAAGGUUAUUUGGUGGCUCAGUAUGUCUGGUUGAAGAAAUUAGACAUUGACGGAGGCCAAUUGCUGGCCAUUGGAUGAGUUUGGAGAUCAGUUCUUCUGUUAAUACUUUCUUCAAUUAUUUAUUUUUUCUUCCCGAUGGGUUUAGUUUGAUAGCAUUUACUUUAUUUGAUUUGAUAAGUUGUCUUUUGAUCUAUGUGCUUAAGUAAUUAAUAGUAUUUAGGAAACUUAUACACAGUAUAACUUGGAUUCUAAGGUUGUGGUGGUUUGGUUUUUCACGAUAAAUUGAGUGGUGUCGAUUUGGUUUUUUAGGGUAAAUUGUCAACUAGUUUGAUAAUGUAAAAUUGAAAAUUAUAAUGCUCGGUACUUGGUUUGCUCAAAGGCGGUCAUGUCAGUAUUCACUACAAUCUGUCUGUGUUUGGGUCUAUCAUGUUAAUAUUUUUUAACCUUAAGUUUGUUUAGGUAAUAAUAAUA